ACUUUCAACAACGGAUCUCUUGGUUCCGGCAUCGAUGAAGAACGCAGCGAAAUGCGAUACGUAAUGUGAAUUGCAAAUUCAGUGAAUCAUCGAGUCUUUGAACGCACAUUGCGCCCCCUGGUAUUCCGGGGGGCAUGCCUGUCCGAGCGUC
rnacentral:rRNA from 1 species